rnacentral:rRNA from 1 species
AUUGAACGCUGGCGGCAGGCCUAACACAUGCAAGUCGAGCGGCAGCGGGAAAGUAGCUUGCUACUUUUGCCGGCGAGCGGCGGACGGGUGAGUAAUGCCUGGGAAAUUGCCCAGUCGAGGGGGAUAACAGUUGGAAACGACUGCUAAUACCGCAUACGCCCUACGGGGGAAAGCAGGGGACCUUCGGGCCUUGCGCGAUUGGAUAUGCCCAGGUGGGAUUAGCUAGUUGGUGAGGUAAUGGCUCACCAAGGCGACGAUCCCUAGCUGGUCUGGGAGGAUGAUCAGGCACACUGGAACUGAGACACGGUCCAGACUCCUACGGGAGGCAGCAGUGGGGAAUAUUGCACAAUGGGGGAAACCCUGAUGCAGCCAUGCCGCGUGUGUGAAGAAGGCCUUCGGGUUGUAAAGCACUUUCAGCAAGGAGGAAAGGUUGAUGCCUAAUACGUAUCAACUGUGACGUUACUCGCAGAAGAAGCACCGGCUAACUCCGUGCCAGCCGCCGCCGUAACAC